rnacentral:lncRNA from 1 species
ACAAGCCCAGCCGUGGUCGCAGUGGCUGUUGUGCGGCGGAGGCAAGGCCACACAUGGCGGCUAGAGGAGGCAAGGCGAGGCAGGCAUGGCCGCUUAUUUUUUUAGGGUUGAAUUUUUUUUAAUGAUUUGGUUUAGUUAUCUAAACCUAAUUUUAUUUUAAACCAAUUUCAUUUUGUAAACCGAGUUAUUUUUAUUUCGAUUUAUAGAGUAACCAAUUGAAACUGAGAUGUUACUACUACUGUAAUACUUUGUGAGGUUUAAUUAUGACAAAUUAAUAACAUAAUG